AGAGGACGCACGGGAGCCGAGGGAACUGCGGGAGACGCGAGCGGCUUCUCAGCACCGUUGCCUGUCCUGCGAAGAGACAUGAGUCACAAGGGAUCCCUCAACAGCAACCCUGGCUCAUCAAACGGGAGCCUGGGGAAAGCGGACGGAGCCGCCAAGCUGAGCGCCAAGGACCUGUACGGUAAGUCGUGCCCACAAACCCCUCUGAGGUUUCCUACAGAAAAAGCCCCUCUGGAGACGUGGAGGCAGUUGUUGGGGAGUUUUAAGCUGGAACUCAAUCAAAGCCAGGUGAACCCAGG
rnacentral:lncRNA from 1 species